UACAGAGGGGCAAGCGUUGUUCGGAAUUACUGGGCGUAAAGGGCGCGUAGGCGGCCUUCUAAGUCGAACGUGAAAUCCCCGGGCUCAACCCGGGAACUGCGUCCGAUACUGGAAGGCUUGAAUCCGGGAGAGGGAUGCGGAAUUCCAGGUGUAGCGGUGAAAUGCGUAGAUAUCUGGAGGAACACCCGUGGCGAAGGCGGUUCUCUGGGACGGUACUGACGCUGAGACGCGAAAGCGUGGGAGC
rnacentral:rRNA from 1 species